rnacentral:rRNA from 1 species
CACGUAGGCGGAUAUUUAAGUCAGGGGUGAAAUCCUGGAGCUCAACUCCAGAACUGCCUUUGAUACUGAAGAUCUUGAGUUCGGGAGAGGUGAGUGGAACUGCGAGUGUAGAGGUGAAAUUCGUAGAUAUUCGCAAGAACACCAGUGGCGAAGGCGGCUCACUGGCCCGAUACUGACGCUGAGGCACGAAAGCGUGGGGAGCAAACA